UUAAACCUACAAGUGCGACAUGUAUCAAAAAAGCUUCUUCUUGCCUCCCCCGCAGGAGUCACAGAAUAUAAAUGAAAGUGUUCUUUUGGGUUCUAAAUUUGUAUGUGUCUACCAGAGCAAAAUAAUAAUAAUGAUGAUGAUGAAAGCCUAAGUCACAUUUCAAAAUGCAGCCCUCGGUAGAUGACAUGAGGAGCUUCGUCAGAAACGUUGAUUCAGCCUGGGGUCGGAGGUAUCCCGGCAGUAGACAAUAACGUCGAUGACUUCAAAUGCAAAGAGACAGCGGCUGCAGGUGUAUCUCGUCUGGCGCUUGGAAAUGAUGGAACGCGACGUUUCUGAGCCAUUCUGAUCUUUAAAUCACUCAUGUCAGCUAGUCCCUAAAGUCCACUUACCAGAUCUCAGGUAGAGACAUCGGAUCUGAAAACUGCAAUCACUGGACCUUUGAGAGGGAACCUGAGGAAGGAGAAGUUCCAGAGUUCGAGUUCCAGUCCAUCAUGGCAGGAAGGCUGACAAGUCGGAGCCUGAGGCAGCUGAUCACAUCGCUUCUGCA